ACAUCUCUAUACCUAAUAAAACAACAAGGUUCUGCCACUUGGCAUCACCUCAUUAAACCAACACACUUGUCAAAAUUCUAGCCCCUCCACGUUAGUAUAAUCUUAUGUGUAAUUUUGUGAGAUUUUUUACUUUUUUAUGUUUAACUAAAGCACAGUCCCCAACUCUCUCUGUAACAUCUCUUUCACCCUGUACACACAAAACGUCAAAAACCCAGCUCAUACCCAUCUUUCCCUUUCUUCUUCAAAAUUCAAAUUCAUUGUUUCCCAAGCCAGAUCUACAAAACAAAUUCGAAAACCCAUUGAGAGAGAGAGAGAGAGACAAGAGUUGAAGGGGAUUCAGGCGAAUCACCACCAUCCGACGACAGUAACAGAGCUGCAAAGACAACCGCUCGAACUCUAAUUUAAGGGUUUACUUGAAAUCUGCUAUCCUAGAUCUACUAGACGUUAUUGAGCAGGAAUCAGAUAUCAAAGAGCUGGGAUAAAAUGACAAUUGUGGAGGACCCGAUUCCAGAGCUUUCGUCUGAUUUGUCAACUAUUUCUCCGCCGAAUUCAUAUGGAUCUGUUGUUCUAGGUGGCACGUUUGAUCGCUUACAUGAUGGUCAUCGACUUUUCCUCAAGGCAGCUGCAGAGUUGGCUAGGGAUCGAAUUGUUGUUGGUGUUUGUGAUGGACCUAUGAUUUCCAAGAAACAGGUGGUUAUGUUGGAUCCUUGGAGUGUAUUGUGGGUGGUGUUCAUAUAAGAACAGGGGUUAGAGAAUAAAGAGUAUACAGAAAGAGAUGAAGGGAAGGGAAGGGGAGGCAGAAAGAGGUAUCGAAUGGCAGGGGCCAGAUCAAGGUCAUGAUCAAGAACAAGGGACCUUCAUAAGCUUCUCCUAAGGCCAGGGCAUCUGGUCGGACCCGCUUUCGAACCAGGUACCCAAGUAACUCCUAUAACAUAUUAUGUUCCAAUAUUAUUAUUAUUUUAGUUGCUGCUAACUUGGUCUGAUUUUGUGAAGCAGAGGUACGAUCUUCAAGAUUAAGUGUGUAUAUUGGUUGUGGGUGCUGGUGGGUUGGGUUGUGAACUUCUCAAAGAGUCGCCCUCUCCGGUUUCAGCAAUGUAGUUUCAUUAUCUGUGUUUUUUAGCGUCUUUUGGAAAUUGGAACCUUUGCUACUGAGUUGUGUAGGUUGUAGAGGCUUUAAGAGUAAUGGUAAUGGGUGACCCCUUUGGAGAUACUAUAUCUAAGGUACACUGUUGGAAAUCAGAGAUUUAAACAAUUAAAAGAACAAGAAGCAAGGAGGAAACAACAAAAAGAGGCAGAAAAAGCUAAAGAGGCUUCAUUGACAAAUGAAGUUGACCAUGAACUUAAAGCCGAUUCUAUGAGUUCUGCUAAUGGAAGUCCUUCAUCUUCAGAUUCCAGUCAAGUUGAUAGAACUUCGAUUUCUAAAGGGAAAAUGGCGAAG